rnacentral:rRNA from 1 species
CUUCGGUUCUCUGGUUAGUGGCGCACGGGUGCGUAACGCGUAUGCAACCUACCUUCCACUGGGGGAUAGCCCGGGGAAACCCGGAUUAAUACCGCAUGUGACCACUGAGAGGGCAUCCGAUCGUGGUAAAAGCUGAGGCGGUGGAAGAUGGGCAUGCGUGCCAUUAGCUAGUUGGCGGGGUAACGGCCCACCAAGGCUACGAUGGCUAGGGGUUCUGAGAGGAUGGUCCCCCACACUGGUACUGAGACACGGACCAGACUCCUACGGGAGGCAGCAGUAGGGAAUAUUGGGCAAUGGCCGAGAGGCUGACCCAGCCAUGCCGCGUGCAGGAAGAAGGCCUUCUGGGUUGUAAACUGCUUUUAUCUGGGAAGAAAACGCCCCUGCGGGGGUAACUGACGGUACCAGAUGAAUAAGCACCGGCUAACUCCGUGCCAGCAGCCGCGGUAAUACGGAGGGUGCAAGCGUUGUCCGGAUUUAUUGGGUUUAAAGGGUGCGUAGGCGGCCCGUUAAGUCAGCGGUGAAAUCCCACGGCUCAACCGUGGAACUGCCGUUGAUACUGGCGGGCUUGAGUUCGGUCGAGGCGGGCGGAACUGGUGGUGUAGCGGUGAAAUGCUUAGAUACCACCAAGAACCCCGAUUGCGUAGGCAGCUCGCUGGGCCGAAACUGACGCUGAGGCACG